AGAGGGUGCAAACGUUGUUCGGAAUUACUGGGCGUAAAGCGCGUGUAGGCGGCUAUGCAAGUCGGACGUGAAAUCCCAUGGCUCAACCAUGGAAGUGCGCUCGAAACUGCGUAGCUAGAGUCCUGGAGAGGAAGGUGGAAUGCUUGGUGUAGAGGUGAAAUUCGUAGAUAUCAAGCGGAACACCGGUGGCGAAGGCGGCCUUCUGGACAGUGACUGACGCUGAGACGCGAAAGCGUGGGGAGCAAACAGGAUUAGAUACCCUGGUAGUCCACGCUGUAAACGAUGAGUGCUAGGUGUCACGGGCUUUGACCCUCGUGGUGCCGAAGCUAACGCGUUAAGCACUCCGCCUGGGGAGUACGGCCGCAAGGCUAAA
rnacentral:rRNA from 1 species